AACGAACGCUGGCGGCAGGCCUAACACAUGCAAGUCGAACGCCCCGCAAGGGGAGUGGCAGACGGGUGAGUAACACGUGGGAACCUACCUAUUGGUACGGAAUAACUCGGGGAAACCCGUGCUAAUACCGUAUACGCCCGAGAGGGGAAAGAUUUAUCGCCGAUAGAUGGGCCCGCGUCGGAUUAGCUAGUUGGUGGGGUAAUGGCUCACCAAGGCGACGAUCCGUAGCUGGUCUGAGAGGAUGAUCAGCCACACUGGGACUGAGACACGGCCCAGACUCCUACGGGAGGCAGCAGUGGGGAAUAUUGGACAAUGGGGGCAACCCUGAUCCAGCCAUGCCGCGUGAGUGACGAAGGCCUUAGGGUUGUAAAGCUCUUUUGGCGGGGACGAUAAUGACGGUACCCGCAGAAUAAGCCCCGGCUAACUUCGUG
rnacentral:rRNA from 1 species